rnacentral:rRNA from 1 species
GAUGAACGCUGACAGAAUGCUUAACACAUGCAAGUCUACUUGAUUCUACUUCGGUAGUCGAUGGUGGCGGACGGGUGAGUAACGCGUAAAGAAUCUGCCCUUUAGUUUGGGAUAACCUUUGGAAACGAAGGCUAAUACCGGAUAUUAUGGAGACGUCGCAUGACGACUCCAUGAAAGCUAUAUGCGCUAGAGGAGGACUUUGCGUCCCAUUAGUUAGUUGGUGAGGUAAUGGCUCACCAAGACCGCGAUGGGUAGCCGGCCUGAGAGGGUGAUCGGCCACAAGGGAACUGAGACACGGUCCUUACUCCUACGGGAGGCAGCAGUGGGGAAUAUUGGACAAUGGGCCACAAGCCUGAUCCAGCAAUUCUGUGUGCACGAUGAAGGUCUUCGGAUUGUAAAGUGCUUUCAGUAGGGAAGAAAAAAAUGACGGUACCUACAGAAGAAGCGACGGCUAAAUAUGUGCCAGCAGCCGCGGUAA